UGGGGAAUAUUGCACAAUGGGCGCAAGCCUGAUGCAGCCAUGCCGCGUGUAUGAAGAAGGCCUUCGGGUUGUAAAGUACUUUCAGCGAGGAGGAAGGCGGUAAGGUUAAUAACCUUAUCGAUUGACGUUACUCGCAGAAGAAGCACCGGCUAACUCCGUGCCAGCAGCCGCGGUAAUACGGAGGGUGCAAGCGUUAAUCGGAAUUACUGGGCGUAAAGCGCACGCAGGCGGGCUGUCAAGUCGGAUGUGAAAUCCCCGGGCUCAACCUGGGAACUGCAUUCGAAACUGGCAGGCUAGAGUCUUGUAGAGGGGGGUAGAAUUCCAGGUGUAGCGGUGAAAUGCGUAGAGAUCUGGAGGAAUACCGGUGGCGAAGGCGGCCCCCUGGACAAAGACUGACGCUAAGGUGCGAAAGCGUGGGGAGCAAACA
rnacentral:rRNA from 1 species